UGAUGGAAUGAGAGAAAGUUCACUUUUAAUUUCAUUUUGGCCUGGGGGGUGGGGGUGGUUGGUGGUGGGACGGGGAGCUCCAGUGCUGGGCUAAGUGCUGGGCAAGAUGGGCAGAGAAACACAAUCUGGUUCUGUGAGAAGUUCAUGAGAAUUUGUAGGUUCAGCCUUGCUUUUGCGGGGCACUUUCAUCACGCUUUUGGAUUAGCCCGUUUUUUAAAUAAUUGAAUUUGUACUGCAAAGGGCAGGGAGACUGACACUGUCCCAGGAGACUCAGGCUCCCUGAUUUUGGAGACCUUUUCAGCCCCCGCAGGACCAGGAGCUGAAUCUCCUCCUUAGGUUGGCUGUUCUCCAGCCUGGGGACCGAGAGAGUUGCCUCCGACCUCGGAGCGUCUCCGCACCUGCACCCGGUGCCUUCCCUAGCAUUCCAGGCGCCCGGAGGCUCAACACCCGCCGCAAAGGAACAAUUGGCGCGAACUAGGCCAGGACAGGUUGGGGGGCGAGGUGCUGCCUCAGGAAGAGGUGAUCCGAGUCGUUGAGAGCAGGCGGUCACGUGAACGAGCGGAGCGAGCGAGCGAGCGAGCGAGAGCGCGCCGAAAGCCAGCGCGAAAGAAAGCCCACAGACAGAACUACCUACAAAGAGCCCAGGAGGGAGGCCUGCGGGGACUGCGAGCGAAAGGAGGAGCGGGAGGGCGGAGGGCAGGGCGGACUGGCCCUCCGCCUCUUUUUCCCUUUCCUCCUCUGCCUCAACAUUAUGGUCUCACACUUAUGGAGCCCAGUGACCGUAGGGGACCCGGAGACCCUGUGCUUCCGCCGAAGGAGCCUUGAUUAUCCCGGGGUUUGCCGCUGGCAGCUAGGUUGCCGCUUCCCCACUUCUGAAACGACAGAAUCAGCUGUAAUCGGUCCGAUUCUUCUGCUAGGCCCUCAUUGGUGCUGAUUACUGGGAAUUGGUUAUAAUUUUCUCAAGUGCUACCGGUUCAGUGAAAACUUCCCUCAACUCACCUUUUCCAUUGGGGAAGUGCAGAGCAGGAGGAAAUGAAGUCAUCCUGUCCCCUGUCCCCCUGCCCUACAGGUGGCCACCCACUUGAGGAAGAAGCUGAAGAUGCCCUUGGUCACACAACUAGGAAGUAGGGGGUGGAGCUGAGAUUUGGUCGCAGCUCCAUCUGGCUCCAGAGUGGAAACUUCAGUUUAUCCACUAUGCUCCCUGGUGCUCAGUGGCAAACAAUAAGACCAUUAGCAACCUAGAAGAAAAUGGGUGAAUAUUCCCCUGGUCUUGAAUGGAUGGGAAGUCUUUCUAGGCAUAAAGGUAAACAAAGAAACAAUGAAGGACAAAAACGUAUAUUUGGCUAUGUAAAAAUGUAAAACUUACAUAUUUUAAACCCCUUUACCCAUUUCUUCUAGCCUCAUCCCCUACCUAUGGCAACCACCAAUCUGUUCUUUGUAUCUAUGAGCUUGUUUUGUUCUGCUUUACUUCUAGAUUCUACAUAUAUAAGACGGAUCAUAUGGUAUUUGUCUUUCUCUGUUUGACUUGAAAAAAAAAAACUUCUGUAUUUAAAAAAUGAUAACACCACAAGCAAAAUAGAAGGCCUGUCAGUAGGGAGUCUUUGCAAUAUACGACAAAGUUUUCAUAUCUUUGAUACAAAAAGAAGUAUUACAAGUCCACAAGAAAAAAGAUAAACAUUUCAUUAGAAAACUAGGCAGAGGCCAUGAAUUGGCAGUUCACAAAACAAGAAAUACUAAAGGUCAAUAAACUAGGAAAAAUAUUCACUAUUACUAAAGAAGUGCAAAUUCAAAUAUUGAGAUACUGACAAUUUUUCACCCAUCAGGUUGGCAAAUAUGUAUGUGUAUGUUUUUAUUUAUUUUAAUAACAUUUAUUUAUUUAAAUACACUGCCAGCAAAAGUUUAUGGAAGCACAUUUUAAAAAUCAGCUUUAUUGAGGGAUAAUUUGGCUACAAGUAGCCUUAUCCAUCUAAAUUGUAGAAUGAAUGAGCUUUCACAUACAUAUCCACCCAUGAAACCACUGCCACAGUCAAGAUAUACUGCAUAUCCAUCACCCCCAAAAUUUUGCUCAUAUGCCUUUAUAGUCCAUCUCUUCCUCCACCUCUGCCUACAGGCAACUAUUGAUCUGCUUUCUGUCACAAUAACUUUGUUUGUAUUUUCUAGACUUCUAUAUAGUGGGGUUAUAUAGUAUAUAGUAUUUUGGUCUGGUUUCCCUCACUCAGCAUGUUUUUGAGUUUCAUCCAUUUUGUUGCUUGCAUCAGUAGUUUGUUCCUUUGCAUCACUGAGUGGUAUUCCCUUGUAAUAAAUACCCCCUUUUUUUCUAUUCAUUCACCUGGUGAUGGUCACUUGGGUUGUUCCCAGUUUGUGGUGCAUGGGCUAUUGUGAAUAUUCUGGUACAAAUGUAAACUUGUAGUCUUUUAAUAGGGCAAUUUUGUAUUGUGUGUCAAAAUAUUAAAAACACACAUACCAAAAUUACUUGAUGCCCAGGGUUUGCUUCACAAGUAAUC